rnacentral:rRNA from 1 species
UCUUCCCUCUUUCUUCGUGCCUAAUACAUGCAAGUCGAGCGAACAGACGAGGAGCUUGCUCCUCUGACGUUAGCGGCGGACGGGUGAGUAACACGUGGAUAACCUACCUAUAAGACUGGGAUAAAUUCGGGAAACCGGAGCUAAUACCGGAUAAUAUAUUGAACCGCAUGGUUCAAUAGUGAAAGACGGUUUUGCUGUCACUUAUAGAUGGAUCCGCGCCGCAUUAGCUAGUUGGUAAGGUAACGGCUUACCAAGGCGACGAUGCGUAGCCGACCUGAGAGGGUGAUCGGCCACACUGGAACUGAGACACGGUCCAGACUCCUACGGGAGGCAGCAGUAGGGAAUCUUCCGCAAUGGGCGAAAGCCUGACGGAGCAACGCCGCGUGAGUUAUGAAGGUCUUCGGAUCGUAAAACUCUGUUAUUAGGGAAGAACAAAUGUGUAAGUAACUAUGCACGUCUUGACGGUACCUAAUCAGAAAGCCACGGCUAACUACGUG